UCUCCGUUGGUGAACCAGCGGAGGGAUCAUUACCGAGUUUACAACUCCCAAACCCCUGUGAACAUACCUACAACGUUGCCUCAGCGGCUCCCCGCUUCCCCGUAAAACGGGAGCGGCCCGCCAGAGGACCCAACAAACUCUGUUAUUUUCAGUAUCUUCUGAGUAAAAACACAAUCAAUUAAAACUUUCAACAACGGAUCUCUUGGUUCUG
rnacentral:misc_RNA from 1 species